AUUCAAUUUUCUGCCACCGAAUACAUUAGCAUGGGAUAAUGGAAUAGGACCCUGUCCUCCUAUUUUCAGUUGGUUUUGGCAGCGCGAGGACUAGGGUAAUGAUUAAUAGGGAUAGUUGGGGGCAUUAAUAUUUAAUUGUCAGAGGUGAAAUUCUUGGAUUUAUGAAAGAUUAACUUCUGCGAAAGCAUCUGCCAAGGAUGUUUUCAUUAAUCAAGAACGAAAGUUAGGGGAUCGAAGACGAUCAGAUACCGUCCUAGUCUUAACCCUAAACGAUGCCGACCAGCGAUUAGGCCCCCCCUGAAUCCCCCAACACCACCAUCGGCGCGGCCCCCCCCCCCCCCCCUCACCACGCCCCCCCCCCCCCCCCCCC
rnacentral:rRNA from 1 species